rnacentral:rRNA from 1 species
UUUGGUGGCAAUAGCUGCGUGGAAACACCCGUUUCCAUUCCGAAUACGGCAGUUAAGCACGCAACGCCGAAAAUACUUGGCUGGUGACGGUCCGGGAAAAUAGGUACUGCCAAAG